CCCACCCAAAGCCCCCCACCCAGCCCAAGACAACAAGGAUCCAAGCCAGACUUAACCCCAUUACAGAAGGAAAAAGGUUGCAAAGUGGUUCUGCAGAUACCCUACCCAGGCUUCCCACUGUCACCCAGCAAGAGCUUCGCAUGAGAAAGCAAAAUAUGAUCUCCAUGGAAACCCAGACACCACCAAAAGCAAAUAUCAGCCAGACAUCCUUGAAGAGGCAGUUUAAUGCCACUGGAAGAAGACUAUCUAAGGAGGAAGCAGCAUAUGUCCACCCUCCUUUGUGUAGCCAUUGAGGAUUGUAUUUAACAAUUAAUAAAACUCUGGGACUCUG